ACGGAAGGCAGCAGUGGGGAAUAUUGGGCAAUGGGCGAAAGCCUGACCCAGCGACGCCGCGUGAGGGAAGAAGGUCUUCGGAUUGUAAACCUCUUUCAGCAGGGAAGACCAAGAGACGGUACCUGCAGAAGAAGUCACGGCUAACUACGUGCCAGCAGCCGCGGUAAUACGUAGGUGGCGAGCGUUAUCCGGAAUUACUGGGUGUAAAGGGUGUGUAGGCGGAGAGGCAAGUCAGGCGUGAAAUACGUGGGCUCAACCCACGAACUGCGCUUGAAACUGUUUCCCUUGAGAGUGGGAGAGGUAAACGGAAUUCCUGGUGUAGUAGUGAAAUGCGUAGAUAUCAGGAGGAACACCGGUGGCGAAGGGGGCUUACUGGACUGUAACUGACGUUGAGGCUCGAAAGCGUGGGGAGCAAACAGGAUUAGAUACCCUGGUA
rnacentral:rRNA from 1 species